rnacentral:rRNA from 1 species
GAUGAACGCUGGCGGCGUGCCUAAUACAUACAAGUCGAGCGAACAGACGAGGAGCUUGCUCCUCUGACGUUAGCGGCGGACGGGUGAGUAACACGUGGAUAACCUACCUAUAAGACUGGGAUAACUUCGGGAAACCGGAGCUAAUACCGGAUAAUAUAUUGAACCGCAUGGUUCAAUAGUGAAAGACGGUUUUGCUGUCACUUAUAGAUGGAUCCGCGCCGCAUUAGCUAGUUGGUAAGGUAACGGCUUACCAAGGCAACGAUGCGUAGCCGACCUGAGAGGGUGAUCGGCCGCACUGGAACUGAGACACGGUCCAGACUCCUACGGGAGGCAGCAGUAGGGAAUCUUCCGCAAUGGGCGAAAGCCUUACGGAGCAACGCCGCGUGAGUGAUGAAGGUCUUCGGAUCGUAAAACUCUGUUAUUAGGGAAGAACAAAUGUGUAAGUAACUAUGCACGGCUUGACGGUACCUAAUCAGAAAGCCACGGCUAACUACGUG